UCUUCUCCCUCCAAAUUCGGAAUCAUCAAUCGAUUAACCGCCUCCCAUUCUACAACUUCGUAACUGCCGUAAAACCGCCGCACUUCUUAACUGCCGUCCCGUACUAUAUAAUUGAUAGGAGGUUGAAGUUUUUUCUUGCGAGAGGAAGUUGGUGAAUUGCGAAAUCUCAGGAUGGUCUUCAAAAAGGGUCACACCGGAUCAAAUAAGCAAUGGGUACCCGGCACUAGUAACCGUAAGAAGUAUGUGGAACCGGAAAUUGAUGAAGAUGAUGAAGAGUACGAGGAAGAUCUCGUUGGAUCAGGGGAUGAUAGUGAAGAUACACCAUAUGAAGAGGAGGGUGAGGAAUUAGAGGACGAAGAAGAA